GGAGCUCUCCCAUAUGGUCGACCUGCAGGCGGCCGCGAAUUCACUAGUGAUUCGUAUUACCGCGGCUGCUGGCACAUAGUUAGCCGGUGCUUAUUCUUCAGGUACCGUCAUUAGCAGGAGAUAUUAGCCCCCACCGUUUCUUCCCUGACAAAAGAGCUUUACAACCCGAAGGCCUUCUUCACUCACGCGGCAUUGCUGGAUCAGGCUUGCGCCCAUUGUCCAAAAUUCCCCACUGCUGCCUCCCGUAGGAGUCUGGACCGUGUCUCAGUUCCAGUGUGGCUGGUCGUCCUCUCAGACCAGCUACUGAUCGAUGCCUUGGUAGGCCUUUACCCCACCAACUAGCUAAUCAGAUAUCGGCCGCUCCAGGAGCAUGAGGUCUUGCGAUCCCCCACUUUCAUCCUUAGAUCGUAUGCGGUAUUAGCGUAACUUUCGCUACGUUAUCCCCCACUCCAGGGUACGUUCCGAUAUAUUACUCACCGUUCGCCACUCGCCGCCAGGUUGCCCCGCGCUGCCGUUCGACUUGCAUGUGUAAGGCAUGCCCCCAGCGUUCAAUCUGAGCCAUGAUCAAACUCUAAUCGAAUUCCCGCGGCCGCCAUGGCGGCCGG
rnacentral:rRNA from 1 species